UACGUAGGGUGCGGGCGUUAAUCGGAAUUACUGGGCGUAAAGCGUGCGCAGGCGGUUCGUUGUGUCUGUGGUGAAAGCCCCGGGCUUAACCUGGGAAUGGCCAUGGAAACUGGCGAGCUGGAGUGUGGCAGAGGGGGGUGGAAUUCCGCGUGUAGCAGUGAAAUGCGUAGAGAUGCGGAGGAACACCGAUGGCGAAGGCAGCCUUCUGGGCCAACACUGACGCUCAUGCACGAAAGCGUGGGGAGCAAACAGG
rnacentral:rRNA from 1 species